UACGUAGGAGGCAAGCGUUGUCCGGAAUUACGUGGGCGUAAAGCGCGUGUAGGUGGUGGGACAAGUCUGCUGUGAAAGCGCCUGGCUUAACCGGGCGAGGUCGGCGGAAACUGUCGCACUCGAGGACGUAGAGGGGGGUGGAAUUCCCGGUGUAGGUGGUGAAAUGCGUAGAUAUCAGGAGGAACACCGGUGGCGAAGGCGGCUAUCUGGACAGAGUCUGACGCUGAGGCGCGAAAGCUAGGGGAGCAAACAGG
rnacentral:rRNA from 1 species